UUUAUGAAGAGUUUGAUCCUGGCUCAGGAUGAACGCUGGCGGCGUGCCUAAUACAUGCAAGUCGAGCGAACGGACGAGAAGCUUGCUUCUCUGAUGUUAGCGGCGGACGGGUGAGUAACACGUGGAUAACCUACCUAUAAGACUGGGAUAACUUCGGGAAACCGGAGCUAAUACCGGAUAAUAUUUUGAACCGCAUGGUUC
rnacentral:rRNA from 1 species